rnacentral:rRNA from 1 species
AGUGAACGCUGGCGGUAGGCCUAACACAUGCAAGUCGAACGGCAGCACAGUAAGAGCUUGCUCUUACGGGUGGCGAGUGGCGGACGGGUGAGGAAUACAUCGGAAUCUACUUUUUCGUGGGGGAUAACGUAGGGAGACUUACGCUAAUACCGCAUACGACCUACGGGUGAAAGCAGGGGAUCUUCGGACCUUGCGCGAUUGAAUGAGCCGAUGUCGGAUUAGCUAGUUGGCGGGGUAAAGGCCCACCAAGGCGCCGAUCCGUAGCUGGUCUGAGAGGAUGAUCAGCCACACUGGAACUGAGACACGGUCCAGACGCCUACGGGAGGCAGCAGUGGGGAAUAUUGGACAAUGGGCGCAAGCCUGAUCCAGCCAUACCGCGUGGGUGAAGAAGGCCUUCGGGUUGUAAAGCCCUUUUGUUGGGAAAGAAAAGCAGCAGGUUAAUACCCCGCUGUUCUGACGGUACCCAAAGAAUAAGCACCGGCUAACUUCGUG